rnacentral:rRNA from 1 species
AGAGUUUGAUCAUGGCUCAGAUUGAACGCUGGCGGCAGGCCUAACACAUGCAAGUCGAGCGGUAGCACAAGAGAGCUUGCUCUCUGGGUGACGAGCGGCGGACGGGUGAGUAAUGUCUGGGAAACUGCCUGAUGGAGGGGGAUAACUACUGGAAACGGUAGCUAAUACCGCAUAACGUCUUCGGACCAAAGUGGGGGACCUUCGGGCCUCACGCCAUCAGAUGUGCCCAGAUGGGAUUAGCUAGUAGGUGGGGUAAUGGCUCACCUAGGCGACGAUCCCUAGCUGGUCUGAGAGGAUGACCAGCCACACUGGAACUGAGACACGGUCCAGACUCCUACGGGAGGCAGCAGUGGGGAAUAUUGCACAAUGGGCGCAAGCCUGAUGCAGCCAUGCCGCGUGUGUGAAGAAGGCCUUCGGGUUGUAAAGCACUUUCAGCGAGGAGGAAGGGUAGUGUGUUAAUAGCACAUUGCAUUGACGUUACUCGCAGAAGAAGCACCGGCUAACUCCGUGCCAGCAGCCGCGGUAAUACGGAGGGUGCAAGCGUUAAUCGGAAUUACUGGGCGUAAAGCGCACGCAGGCGGUUUGUUAAGUCAGAUGUGAAAUCCCCGCGCUUAACGUGGGAACUGCAUUUGAAACUGGCAAGCUAGAGUCUUGUAGAGGGGGGUAGAAUUCCAGGUGUAGCGGUGAAAUGCGUAGAGAUCUGGAGGAAUACCGGUGGCGAAGGCGGCCCCCUGGACAAAGACUGACACUCAGGUGCGAAAGCGUGGGGAGCAAACAGGAUUAGAUACCCCGGUAGU